CCACUGGAUGACGAAGAGAUGGUCUCGUACAUCCUCACCGGACUCAACAUCGAAUUCAAUGCAAUCGUGUCCGCCAUUGUCGCGCGAGUUGAACCAAUCGCUAUAAGUGAAUUGUACACGCGGUUAUUAAGUUUUGAAA